UCACUACAACCCUGUUCCUGGAGAGAAAACCUCCUGUAAGGUUUUCACUACAACCCUGUUCCUGGAGAGAAACCCUCCUGUAAGGUUUUAACUACAACCCUGUUCCUGGAGAGAAACCCUCCUGUAAGGUUUUCACUACAACCCUGUUCCUGGAGAGAAACCCUCCUGUAAGGUU